UACGUAGGGGGCAAGCGUUGUCCGGAUUUAUUGGGCGUAAAGAGCGUGUAGGCGGCUAGGUAGGUCCGUUGUGAAAACUCGAGGCUCAACCUCGAGCUGUCGAUGGAAACCAUCUGGCUAGAGUCCGGAAGAGGAGAGUGGAAUUCCUGGUGUAGCGGUGAAAUGCGCAGAUAUCAGGAAGAACACCCGUGGCGAAGGCGGCUCUCUGGGCCGAUACUGACGCUGAGGAGCGAAAGCGUGGGGAGCGAACAGG
rnacentral:rRNA from 1 species